rnacentral:rRNA from 1 species
UACGUAGGGUGCAAGCGUUGUCCGGAAUUAUUGGGCGUAAAGAGCUCGUAGGCGGUUUGUCGCGUCUGCUGUGAAAAUCCAGGGCUUAACCCUGGACCUGCAGUGGGUACGAGCAGACUAGAGUGCGGUAGGGGAGAUCGGAAUUCCUGGUGUAGCGGUGAAAUGCGCAGAUAUCAGGAGGAACACCGGUGGCGAAGGCGGUUCUCUGGGCAUUACCUGACGCUGAGGAGCGAAAGUGUGGGGAGCGAACAGG